AGAGUUUGAUCCUGGCUCAGAAUCAACGCUGGCGGCGCGCUUAACACAUGCAAGUCGCACGAGAAAGUGGAGCAAUCCAUGAGUACAGUGGCGUACGGGUGAGUAACACGUGGAUCAUCUGCUUUAGUGGGGAAUAACCCUGGGAAACCGGGGCUAAUACCGCAUAAUCCUGAGAAGGGAAAGCAGCAAUGCGCUGAAGG
rnacentral:rRNA from 1 species